AUUGAACGCUGGCGGCAGGCUUAACACAUGCAAGUCGAGCGGAAACGAUGAUAGCUUGCUAUCAGGCGUCGAGCGGCGGACGGGUGAGUAACGCGUAGGAACCUACCCAGUAGUUCGGGAUAGCCCAGAGAAAUUUGGAUUAAUACCGGAUACGCCCUACGGGGGAAAGGGGGCUUCGGCUCUCGCUAUUGGAUGGGCCUGCGUGAGAUUAGCUUGUUGGUGAGGUAAGAGCUCACCAAGGCAACGAUCUCUAGCUGGUCUGAGAGGAUGAUCAGCCACACUGGGACUGAGACACGGCCCAGACUCCUACGGGAGGCAGCAGUGGGGAAUAUUGCACAAUGGGCGCAAGCCUGAUGCAGCCAUGCCGCGUGUGUGAAGAAGGCUCUAGGGUUGUAAAGCACUUUCAGCAGCGAGGAAAGCUUGUUGGUUAAUACCCAUCAAGUGUGACGUUAACUGCAGAAGAAGCACCGGCUAACUCCGUGCCAGCCGCCGCCGUAACAC
rnacentral:rRNA from 1 species